ACUAGGAAUUUUGCGCAAUGGGGGCAACCCUGACGCAGCGACACAGCGUGGAGGAAGAAGGUCUUCGGAUUGUAAACUCCUUUUAUAUGGGAAGAAUAGAUGACUGUACCAUAUGAAUAAGCACCUGCUAACUACGUGCCAGAAGCAUCGGUGAUGCGUAGGGUGCGAACGUUAUCCGGAUUUAUUGGGCGUAAAGAGAUGCGUAGGCGUUUCAGUUAGUCUUUCGUUAAAGAUCACGGCUUAACCGGGAAAAAGCGUUGGAUACUGCUGAAAUUGAGACAUGAAGGGGUGAACGGAACUCCAAGUGGAGCGGUGAAAUGCGUUGAUAUUUGGAAGAACAUCGGAGGCGAAGGCGGUUCACUGGUCAUUGUCUGACGCUAAGGCUCGAAAGCGUGGGUAGCAAAACGGAUUAGAUACCCGAGUAGUCC
rnacentral:rRNA from 1 species